GCGCUCUCGGUUUCUCUCCCACACGGGCUGUCGCUGCGCCCGCACGCUGGCGCAGCAACUCUGGCUGGGAUAGGACGAAGCAGGCACCAUUCAUCCUUGAUUGUGCCGGAUCACGUGUGCGUGAGAGGGCGUCGUCCGCGUAGACACACAGCGGCGCGUUCUUAAUGCUUGUUCGAGAGAGCCGACUUGCACGAACGCCACAAGCAAACAAACAGCAACAAGAACGGGCACGCUGCGGGUGGGAGCCGUGUUCCUCGCAUGCACAUGUUAUUGAUCAGAGUGCAGGACGUCGUUGACUAACACGCACCCAAUAAAACAAAAAAGAAAAAAAAGCGGACGACGACUCAGCACCGGCGUUACCGACGCUUCGCGCUCUCGCCUCGCCUGGUUGCCGCUGAUACGUGAACGCGGCAAGCCACACGAAUGCGAAAGCGCCGCGGCGGCGGGGCGUCGUCCCCGUCAGGGACGGGCAGGGGCAUCACGAAGGCGUUCGCCUUCUGGCAAGACCGCGAAAUUCACUUUGACGCCGCAGCGCCGGUGCUGAGGCUGCGCGAGAACACCGAGCACGUCUACGCCACCUUCGAUGAUGUCGAAGACACGAAGGGCAACAACGGAUGUCCCGGUACGCUGCUGGUGACAAAUCUGCGGCUGAUCUGGCGGUGCAAGCAGCGGCCAAACGUGAACCUCAGCAUCGGUUACUACUGCGUGCAUAAGCUUACAGUGCAGGAGGCGGAGUCGAAACUGGCCGGCAGAAUGACGGAGUGCAUCACGCUUGGUGCCAAGUGCGGCGCUAGCCGCUUCCAAUUUAUCUUUUCUGUGGCACACAACGCCGGUGGCAUUGGCAGCAGCUCGGCUGCGAGCGUGAGCACGAGCGGCGGCGCCGCUGCUCAAAGAGACCGUGAGAACCGCUCUCGCCGGCGGUCAAGCAAUAGCACAGGAGACCACCAACGUCUGUACGCCACCAUUCGCGCUGUCUGGAACGCGUACGAGAGCACGCGAGUGUACCGUGAGCUCCGCGUGCGUAGCGCGGUGGUGCAGCACGGUAACCUUAUCCUCCUCGACGGCGAGAACGUCAUUUCCCGCACCAGCGGCGUAAGCAGCGUCAGCAAGGACGAAGGCCACCUCGGCACCUUCAUCGUGACGAAUAUCCGCGUCGUGUGGUUUGCGGCGGCAGAGUUCUUUAACGUGUCCGUGCCGUAUCUUCAGUUCGUCGGCCUGCGCUCACAGAUGAGCAAGUUCGGGCAGGCGCUGGUGAUCGAGACGUCCAGCUACGCCGGCAACUUUGUGCUGGGCUUCCGUGUUGACCCGGAGGAGAAGCUGAAUGAGAUGUACGCGGAAAUCAGCACGCUGUGGCGCACCUGGACGGCGCGGCCGCUGCUCGGCAUGAAGGUGGAGCUGCACGACGACACCGGCAAAGUAAUGGUGCCAGAGGCUCUCGGCGUGGGGGGAGGGGACGCCGGCGACAAGAGCGGGAGCGCAGAGCACCCUCACGGCGGCGGACUACCCGGCGCCGCCAGCGACGCGCAGCAUGAGCGGCAGAUGGAGGGACAGAACGUUCUGCAGGAGGUCCCGACGGACGCGCUGGCGGCCUACUACGCGGGUGGUGGCCGGAAAGGAGAGGAUCGGCGCCCCGUGUACGAGCCAUCUAUCGGCCUCGCCGUAGAGAAGCUGCGCAAGGGAACCACAAUCCAAAGUCUCUGGGACACCUCCAUAUCGUCCUGAUAUCGAAGGGCUCAGUGAAAGAGAGCGCCGUGCGAGCACACAACGCUCUCAUGUGUGCUCGGCGCGUUCUCGAGCGACAGCAGCGCAGGCGGGCACCGACGCCUUUGCCGUGUUCAGGUGCGUCUGCCGAUGGGGCUCGCCCUUCGCGUUGCGUUCGACAACGCCUACUCUGAAUCUUCCUGUGUAUCUCGUUGUGCGUGUAUGCUUAUGUCUGCCUCCCUCGUGUGUCUCCCUUCGCCGCGCUCACCACAUGGCGCACAGGACGACACGGGCGCAGCGCCACGAACGCGCCAGCGCCCCACCCCUUUCCCUCUCACAUGAUCGCCUUUGCCGGUCCUCUUUGUUUCAUCGCUUCCGAAGAUUGUCGUUGCUUCAUGUGUGUAUGUUUGUGCACGCGUGUGAGCGUGUGCACACCUUCUUUCUGGCGUAUGUGUGCGUUCUUCAGCAU
rnacentral:misc_RNA from 1 species